GACGAGAAGCAAAACACACAAACACAAUUGAAAAUCAUUUCUAAUUUCACUCCCACUAACAAAUCCAUGUUUAUGGUGGUUACAACAAUUCUCCUCUUCUAUAUAAAUGUUCUUCAACAUUCACUAAACGCAAAAAAAAUCACCAGAAAACCUCUUUUAUUUCCAAUUACCAAUGUCCCAGCAGAUCCAUAUGUUUUGUUCUUCGUUACCAAAUCGAUUAUCGUUUUCAAGUGGAGCUCAGUAUUUCUCAGUAAAGAUUAUCCUUUCUGUUAUUUAAGCAUUCCAAUUUUCAUUAUCUUAUAAGGUUGCUUCUAUUUCCAUUUUUUUCCCAGAUAUUAUUGGAGAAAUUGUUGGUAUGAGUCAGAUUACUGAGAAAGAUUGUUGUAGACAGAAGUCAAAGCUGUUGGAUAUUCAGGUACGAGAUCUAAGGUUAGUGAAGUGUCUGGAGAGUUUCAUACUUCUUCAUGUCUCUCUUUAUAAAAUUUACAACAUAUUAUGGAUUCUCUUGCAGUAACACUAUUAUUUAAUGUUUAUUGCAGUGACACUAUCAUGGAGUGUACUUUAUGGGAGAAUCACACUGAAGAUGUAUAUUCCUAUGUUACCAAAAAAAACUGCAGGUCCUAUAAUAUUACUUGGGAGUCUUAUGAGGAUUAAAAAAUCUAAUGUGACACUAUCAUGGAAUGUACUUUAUGGGAGAAUCACACUGAAGAUGUAUAUAUUCCUAUGUUACCAAAAAAACUGCAGGUCCUAUAAUAUUACUUGGGAGUCUUAUGAGGAUCAAAAAAUUUAAUGGUAAAGUAUCUGUUCAAAAUUCUAGAUUCUAUACAAAGUUGUUUCUUGAUGGAGACCUAUAUGAGAUUGCUGAAUUUAAAAUGCAGUAAGUCUUUUCUUUGUUUAAUAUGUUUUCUUAAAAGCAAAAAUGUUGACAAUAUCUUCCCUUAUUUUCAACAAAACACUACAGGCUGGGCAAUAGGGGCUCAAAUGAUGUUCAUAGAGUUUUUCAACUCAUGACACCUGAUUUGAGCAACAAAGUUGAAGAUUCUUUCCCAUUAAGUAGCUGGGAAUCUAUUGAUCAGAUUACUAAAACUUCUCAGGAAAAUACUUGCGUUACUUUUGCAAGAAUUUUGGAAUUUUGAAAAGACAUUGAGUUUACCUAGAGCGGUGUUUACUCACGGCCAACUUUACGUCGCCGUGUCAAGAGUCAAAAGCAGAAGAGGUCUGAAGAUCCUAAUUGUUGAUGAGGAUGAGAACAGAGAUACAAAAACAACAAAUGUCGUUUUUAAGGAGAUUUUCCAACAGAUUAGAUAAUUGAUGAGUCAUAUGAGAAUGGCCGUCGAAUCUUGCAAAUCAACAUCAAGUGUGUUUAUGGCUUAUCCUUUAUCUUAUUUUAUUUUAGCUUUUGUUAUGUUAAAACAACUUAAAUUUAAUUUUCCAGUUACAUGAAUAGUAGGAUCAAACUAAAUGUUGUACUUUGUAGUGUUAAAUGUAUAUAUUUUCGUUAUUUUUUUUUAAUAUUAAGGAUGUAAUGAUAGUGUUUUUUCACAUCAAAGAAGGUGUAUAGUUAAAAAAAAAAAUAUACGUGCCCAAUACUCUUUGUUAUGGCCUCUGUUUUUUAUGCCUCUGCUAAUUCAGUUGUGGGAUGUUUGAGAUAAAUAUUUAAUUAAGAUACCAAAAACAAAAACAAAAAAUUCUUAUAACCAAAAUCCCGUAAUUUUCUAACACUAACACCACUAAGUACAAGCAAAGAUCAUGGCAAGAUUUAUUCUCCUAUUUAACUUCAGGUUAGUUGU